ACACUUGGAUAAGCCUAGGCUACUUUCUUGGCCUCACUUUCUCUCACUUGCCGAGAAAGAAGAAAAAAAAAUCAAAGAAAAAGAAAACAAGAACAAAUGCAAACAUCUCCACUUCUCUCUCUACAUUAGCAUAUACAUUUACACAAUUUAAAUGGCUUCUGUUACGUCAGUGGCGUUUACAGCACUCGGUCAAUUGUCGUAUGAGAGGAAGGUCAAUGUUCCACCGACUCGGUCUUUAGCUUCGAAUUUCGAAGGUUUUCGUUUCCGUUCGAGUGUAUUAUGGCACUGUACCGGUGUUAGAGCUUCGAAUUCAGCUUCUCGUAUGGUUAUUCAAUGCAUGUGUGCUGCUACCGGUGUGCCAACCGUGUCUGAGACAAAGUUGAAUUUUCUAAAAGCAUAUAAAAAACCAAUACCCAGCAUCUAUAACACAGUUCUACAGGAACUGAUUGUCCAACAACAUUUGAUGAGGUACAAAAGGACAUACUGUUAUGAUGCCAUGUUUGCCCUUGGUUUUGUUACUGUUUAUGAUCGACUCAUGGAAGGAUACCCAAGUGAUGAGGAUCGAGAAAUCAUCUUCCAGGCAUAUAUAAAGGCGUUGAAUGAGGACCCAGAACAAUACAGAAUUGAUGCUCAAAAGUUGGAGGAAUGGGCCCGGGCUCAAAAUGCAAGUUCAUUAGUUGAGUUCUCAUCUAGAGAAGGAGAGAUUGAGCGGAUAUUGAAGGACAUUGCUGAAAGGGCAAGUAAUGGGAGUUUCAGCUAUAGCCGUUUCUUUGCCAUUGGUAUGUUUCGCCUUCUUGAGCUGGCAAAUGCAACUGAACCCACUGUAUUGGAAAAGAAAAUGGAAGUUUCUCACAGAUGGUUGCCAUGCAUCAGCUGUGCACAGCUUUAAACAUCAACAAAAGAAGUGUGGAUCGGGACCUUGACGUGUAUCGCAAUCUGCUAUCCAAGCUCCUUCAAGCAAAAGAAUUGCUCAAGGAGUAUGUAGAGAGGGAGAAAAAGAAGAGAGAUGAAAGGGCUGAAUCACAAAAGGCUAACGAGGCCAUCACGAAAUGUGUGGGAGAAUACCAAUAUGUGUGCCAGUAAUUUAACUCCUGUAGCAGUCCGCAAUGCUAAAUAGUCUGUUCUGCCUUAGUCCCCUUUUUGUUUUGCUUUGGAGCCUCCGUGGUCAUGCGCACCUUGUUUUAGUUUAUUGUUUUACUAUGGUGAUAAGAUACAUCCUGUCUUCGUCUUGCUACUAUUAUAUGGAAACUUAUUUUGCUUUUCGCCAAA